rnacentral:lncRNA from 1 species
AAACUGAAAUGCUUGCUUUUACUUUGCAUUGUGCACUAUUUUAACAGCAGAAGAUGGCAUAUAAACACCUUUUAUCUACUUUCCCUCCUACUGGGCUUGUAACAUCAAAGAUCAUCCCAUUCAUCUUUGUUUCAAGAUGGGCUGUAAGUUUUUAUCCGUCAGGGUUGUUGAGAAUCAAACUGGCUAUACUUGAUCACAGUAGGAUCUGCAUGAAAAUCCAUCUACAAGUUGAGUUGUAAUACUUACCUGUCUAGGUCAAUUUGAGAAUAACAAGAAUGAUAAGCACGUAAAGCUGAAAUGGGUUUGUCGCACAGUAGGACUGUUUCACUGUCAGGAUGGCAGAAAAGGCUGGUUUAAGUAAAUGUGGAGCUGCUUGCAAAGUCAUGUGGUUGUGUCCCAUAGAUUAUCAGCUGCAAUUCAUUGUGAUAAUUUGUCAUCCCACUUGCCCUGACUUUGUAUGCCAUAUUGCCUGGGGAUUAUCCCAGCGAAGAGGGAGGAUUAAGAAGACUCCCCAGGAUUUGGCCCAGCUGGAGCUCUUGCUUCUCCUGGCCUUGGAGCAUAGUUCUCUGCAAGGAGGUCGGUAUUCAGGAAAACAAAAAACGCUGGCUUAAGUGGAACAGUUCGUGUUGCCCCAAGAGGAAGGAAGGAUGCCUCUUCCUGCCUAACCGCCGCGUGCUCUGCAAGGCGUUACUUAUUGCUGAGCCUUCCCCUGCCUGUUUCCUGGAUAAGGUGGAAAGAAAAAUGAUAAACGUCCUUGUCUGAAGCUUGCACAAAUCAGGUUACAGAGACAAAUUGCUUUCCAGAUCUUCUUAUUGUACAUCCCUGGCAAGUUUUGUCUAAAAUUAAAAGUAGGUAUUGUGUGUAUUCGUGCUCCUUUAUUACCUGCAAAUAUAUAAAUUAAAUCUG